CUGACCUAUCAGCUUUCGACGGUACUGUAUUGGACUACCGUGGCAGUGACGGGUAACGGGGAAUUAGGGUUCGAUUCCGGAGAGGGAGCCUGAGAAACGGCUACCACAUCUAAGGAAGGCAGCAGGCGCGCAAAUUACCCAAUCCUGACUCAGGGAGGUAGUGACAAGAAAUAACAACACUGGAAAUUCUUUUUCUAGUGAUUGGAAUGAUGGGAAUCCAAACCCCUUUCAGAGUAACAAUUGGAGGGCAAGUCUGGUGCCAGCAGCCGCGGUAAUUCCAGCUCCAAUAGCGUAUAUUAAAGUUGUUGCAGUUAAAAAGCUCGUAGUUGGAUAUCUGCUGGAAGCAGCCAGUCCGCCCUUUGUGGGUGUGCACUUGGUGAAUUCUGGCAUCCUCCUGAUUGGUGUCAUCAUCACUUCAUUGUGUUGGUGGCAGCUGUCAGGACCGUUACUUUGAGAAAAUUAGAGUGUUUCAAGCAGGCUUGUUGCCUUGAAUACUGCAGCAUGGAAUAACAAGAUAGGAUUUCGGUUCUAUUUUGUUGGUUUCUAGAACUGAAGUAAUGAUUAAUAGGGACAGUUGGGGGCAUUCGUAUUUAACUGUCAGAGGUGAAAUUCUUAGAUUUGUUAAAGACGAACUACUGCGAAAGCAUUUGCCAAAGAUGUUUUCAUUAAUCAAGAACGAAAGUUAGGGGCUCGAAGACGAUCAGAUACCGUCGUAGUCUUAACCAUAAACUAUGCCGACUAGAGA
rnacentral:rRNA from 1 species